rnacentral:rRNA from 1 species
UGCAGUCGACGCUUUGUGGUUCAACUGAUUUGAAGAGCUUGCUCAGAUAUGACGAUGGACAUUGCAAAGAGUGGCGAACGGGUGAGUAACACGUGGGAAACCUACCUCUUAGCAGGGGAUAACAUUUGGAAACAGAUGCUAAUACCGUAUAACAAUGACAACCGCAUGGUUGUUAUUUAAAAGAUGGUUCUGCUAUCACUAAGAGAUGGUCCCGCGGUGCAUUAGCUAGUUGGUAAGGUAAUGGCUUACCAAGGCGAUGAUGCAUAGCCGAGUUGAGAGACUGAUCGGCCACAAUGGGACUGAGACACGGCCCAUACUCCUACGGGAGGCAGCAGUAGGGAAUCUUCCACAAUGGGCGAAAGCCUGAUGGAGCAACGCCGCGUGUGUGAUGAAGGGUUUCGGCUCGUAAAACACUGUUGUAAGAGAAGAAUGACAUUGAGAGUAACUGUUCAAUGUGUGACGGUAUCUUACCAGAAAGGAACGGCUAAAUACGUGCCAGCAGCCGCGGU